rnacentral:rRNA from 1 species
GCGGCGUGCCUAUACCUGCAAGUCGUGCGCUUCUUUUUCCACCGCCAGCUUGCUCCCCCGGAAAAAGAGGAGUGGCGAACGGGUGAGUAACACGUGGGUAACCUGCCCAUCAGAAGGGGAUAACACUUGGAAACAGGUGCUAAUACCGUAUAACAAUCGAAACCGCAUGGUUUUGAUUUGAAAGGCGCUUUCGGGUGUCGCUGAUGGAUGGACCCGCGGUGCAUUAGCUAGUUGGUGAGGUAACGGCUCACCAAGGCCACGAUGCAUAGCCGACCUGAGAGGGUGAUCGGCCACAUUGGGACUGAGACACGGCCCAAACUCCUACGGGAGGCAGCAGUAGGGAAUCUUCGGCAAUGGACGAAAGUCUGACCGAGCAACGCCGCGUGAGUGAAGAAGGUUUUCGGAUCGUAAAACUCUGUUGUUAGAGAAGAACAAGGAUGAGAGUAACUGUUCAUCCCUUGACGGUAUCUAACCAGAAAGCCACGGCUAACUACGUGCCAGCAGCCGCGGUAAUACGUAGGUGGCAAGCGUUGUCCGGAUUUAUUGGGCGUAAAGCGAGCGCAGGCGGUUUCUUAAGUCUGAUGUGAAAGCCCCCGGCUCAACCGGGGAGGGUCAUUGGAAACUGGGAGACUUGAGUGCAGAAGAGGAGAGUGGAAUUC